AUUUGAGCCAUAAAUAUCUCACAGAGGCUUCCUGAUGUCACAUGCUCUUGGAGAGAGAGGCCGGUCUGAAAGUGAAAACAGCAGCAGUUCUACUCUGAGGACAGUAUAGGCAGCGAAAGAAAAGCAAGGCAAGGCAAACAGUGCUCUCUGUGUGGACUAGAGGACUGCAGGGGAAAGGAGGAACGCCACAGAGAUGAGGGGACUGCAUCUUAAGUGCAGCUGAUACAGCAGCUCUCCCAGCCCCUGGCUAGGAGGGAAAAGGGAAAGGUGCCCUUGAGGUGAAUAGCUGGGUAGGAGAAUUUCAGUUGGUCUGUGGUGUAGAAGGAAGUGCCUUGGUAUCAUAUUGGACCCUGAAUCGGAGGAAGAAAAGCUGAAGAACAGUGGCUACAUUCUAAAAACAUCAGGAAAGGGGGGAAGAGGGUGUGGCUGUGACUGUGACUGUCAUGAAGGGACCCUGCACCUCUGAAUUUGCCACUAUGCUACUGCUGUGAGUGAGAUCCCACUGGAUUUGUACCGCCUCAUAUAGACAUCUUCCAGAUGUGUCACAACUCUGCUGGUCUGCUGACCAUGAUUGCUGGAUGACUUCCAGAGGCUAGAGAGUUCCAGAAGAAUGUAAAGUCAUUUCGGGGCAGCUACAUAUUCUAAUUGUUGGAUAAGUGAAGAGGAUACCAUUUCCUGGCACAAGGAGCGAGUUCCCAAACCUUACAUAAAUAGGCCAACCAGAUGUCUCUAGGAAGGUCACAAACAGGACACGAGGGCAGUAGCCCUCUCCAUCUGGUACGCAGAGGGUGGUGCCGCUGAUUCUGAAAAUAGGAUACGGCCAUCAUUUACCAGUAGCCAGUGAUAACCAUUCUCCAUUAAUUUGUCUAAUUGUCCUGGCUCCCAUCCAAAACACAAUGGCAGAGGCUCUUACUUGGAACAGUCCAUCAACUGAAGGAUCAGUCCAUUAUCUCCAGAUUUGAUCAAUUAAGCAAGAAACAAGAGGUCAUAAUAUCCUGAACACCAAAGGGUUCCUUCCUCAACAUCUCUUCAGUUACCUCACUUCAGGUGGCCAAUAACAUGAACCCCACAGAAACAGAGGCCUUCAACAUGCCCCUCCCAACAACACACCACAACACCCUCAUCAAGACAACUGCAUGAAAGAUGCAAGGUCAAUAUCACAGGGACUUCAGGGAGGUACACCACAGCCAAGCAAGAGGAACAAAGAGCCAGAGAGCUGUGUUGCUUUCACCAACUAGAAGACUCAAGAGGGAGAUCUUAUGGACUCUGGCCUCCUGGCCCGCACCCUGGCCACAGCUACUGGUAGCAAAGGAGUUUCUGGGAUUGCUUACUCACCAGCAGACCCCUUACUCACAGGGCUCCCAGCUGCCCACAGCCUGAAGCAGCCAGCUCUUGGAACUCAUUGAUGCCAUGCACUUUGAAUGCAAAUACAGCAAGUACGCCUGGGAGUGGCGGAACUUGGUGACAUUCCAUUGUUCUCAUGGAGAAUUGUAUGGAACAAAGAUGGCUGCCCCACUGUUUCUAAAUUUGGAUUGAUACCUAUAAAUUAGCAUACACACACUGUAUGCAAAUCUGUGUCUUAUUUUGUCCUCUUAGUGAUGCGUGGCAGUUUGCAUGAAAUAAUUAUAAAUGUAAAACAAUUUUUUCAAGAAAUGUAAAAACAAUCUAGUUACAAAAACUAAAAACAGGAGUUGUUUAAAAUUAUUCAAAUCCCUUCUGUGUUCCUUUCCCAUUCAUCCCCAUUGUUUCCCCCAUUAACAAAAUGUAGAGACUAACGUCUUUGGGACAAGGUACAAUCUUUGUUUUUGUUUAUGUUAACUCAAAUAAACUCAAAACUCAAAUUCUAGGCUCCAUGGUCCAAACAAUUAUACAAAACAGGUUUAUUCAAAGUGACAGUAUUGUUUAAAAUGUCUCUCAAAUUACAGAAGUUAUUAAUCACAAUGGCUUCGAUCCAGACUAACAGUGCUACCCCAAACAUGCCUACUCAGACGUAAGUCCUGUUGAUAUCAAUGGGACUUUCUCUUAGGUGAGUGGGUACUUGCACUUAGCUCCCAUUGAAAUAUAUGGGACUGAAAUCAUAACUAGGUUGUUGCGCUUUUUUGAAUGGGACCUAAGUUCAACUGACUUACAGCAAGCUAAAUUAAUUGCAUUUAGCCCCAUUCAACUAACUUACAGCACAGUCCUAUACAUUUCCUAUUAGAAAUAAGCAUAGUUCAGUGGGGUUUACUCAUAGAUAAGUGUGUAUGGGAUUGCAGCCUUAGUCUGGAUCCCACCCUUUGCUGCACACUGCUAUGUAUCAAUACUGUUUUGAAAUAUUAGCCCAUAACUACUGAUAUGUUAAACAGCAUGGCAUUACACUGUAAAGUGCCAUGCACGUUAAUGGUUCUGUAAAAAUAAGUAUUAGACGCCCUGUACAAAGUAUGACUCAGUAAAAUCUUCACUCAGCUCAGCCUUCUGGCUGGGUCUCAGGCUGUCUUCCUGUACAAGCCUAUAUAAUUGCUUAUGAGCCAGUUCAUUAACAUUGGUUAAGAACAUAAGAGGAGCCCUGCUGGAUGAGACCAAAGGCCCAUUUAGUCCAGCAUUCCUUUCCCACAGUGGCCAACCAGAUGUCUCUAGGAAGCUCAAAAGACAUGAGUGCAAUAACACAGUGGUUUAGGCCCACUGAAACCAAAGAGCUAUACACGGACACAAAGUCAAACAUCGUCUUUCAACUCCUAAAUAAGCACAGAGCUUUUGAACAUCUGGGGAAAACUUUGCAAGGGUUUUUCCACUCCCACCCACUCUGAACUUCCCCUGUAGAAAUGAAAGUGAUGAGAUGAUAACAGAGCAAAUGUUCUUACCUGAACUUCCCAAAAGUGUUUGGUUCCAGUUCAGGCUGAAUUUUGCACUGUGCUUCCCAUCUGUUUUUAGUUAAUUUGAGCACCUUCCUUCAUCUCAAGAAGUUGUCCAUAACCAUUGGUGUCAACUUCUCUGUGGCCGAGCACAGAGUGUGCAGGCCCUAUCCUUUAAAAGCCUUGGCAUUUGCAUAACCCUCAAUUGUAGCAAUGUGAAUAUGGCUCUGGUUACAAUAACAAGGGUUUAGGGAACGCGGAGAGAGAUUUUUAACUGCAAAAGCACAAAAGCAAAGCAAAACAAAACAAAACCCCACAUACUGUUUUCAUUUUCAAUAGCCACGUGAGGACUGUCCUCUGGUUUUCAGCUAUAAAUAAACCACUGCUGUCAUAGGAAGAUGGAAAACAAUUCACUUGUACUCCUCCUCCCGAUUUUUCUUAAAUGUUUCUUUCUUUUCCUUUUCUUCUUAAAGUAAAGGGCUCCUAAAGCAAAAUGUGCCCGUGAAGAAAAGGGUUAGUUAGGCAAAGAAUGUUGACUUUAAUUCUUCCUGUUCCAGACAAAUGCUGUUAAGUGUAUUGUUUGUAGUGUUUUAUAAACCACACAGUCAUAGAAGUUUGUGCUAUUACAGGUAAAACAGCUUCUAAAGUUAAGCAAAUAAAGGAAAUGUUUGCAAAGCGUCAUUAUAAUUCACUGUCCACCCCAAUUUACAAAAAUAUUGACGCAGACUUGCACUGCAGCAGCUUUCCCCAAAUUGGUGCCCUCCGGAUGUUUUGGAGUACAACUCCCUUUAGUCCCAAACAGCAUGGGCAGUGAUCAGGAAUGAUGGGAGUUGUAGUCCAAAACAUCUGGAGAAGACCAGGUUGGGGGAGGUUGCUCUAGAAAUCCAGACUUUAAGCUGUUGAAUCUAAUUGGGGUUCUGUUUAACGAGAAUCUGAAGAUCCACUGACCAGAGCCUGAUGCACAAGAUAUGCAUUUAGAAUUAAAUAAUUCUGAGCCCAGGAAUUUAUUUUGUGUAUCAGAACUGAAUGGAGUUCAUAGUUCUUCCAUGCAAGAGUCCACUUCCCCAAGCCCUCUUCACUUCAGCAGUAUAAUACAGGAUGGAGAGGGCUUGUUCUGUUGUUGCUAUUGUUAAACAACUGAGAGUAAGAAGUCCUUGCCAAUCUACAAUAAAUUGCCCAGAGUUGUACCAGUAGAUCAAGAUCUAACUUCUGCCCACCCUUGCUCUAAUCUUCCUAGAGCCUGUAGAGGGAUGGACCAGCAUCUCAUAAACUGGCAUAAAGAUGGUUUUACAUAACAAAUUUGAAUUAUGACAUACUGAUGAUAAACAAGGACUUUUUGGUGACAGCACUCACCGGUAUGGAGUAUGGACACCUCUUUUUUGGUUGCCCAUGGCAGCCAUUUUAUGCUGGCACCUAUGGCACUUUUAUCCAGAUAUGGAGUAUGGGCACCUAAUUUUUUACCCCCCCCCCCAAGAAAAGCACUGAUAAUAAGCCAAUGUCAGGAAUAUUAUUGACAGAAAUAAAUUUUAACGAGGAGGAGAAGUGUUCCAGUGAGGCUUCCGUUAUUCAGCCUAGUUCAAAAAACUUGUUUUUCAAAUUUGCCUUUUAGGGCAAAUGCCCUCAUAAGGUGGCUUCCACAAGAGAU